CAAGAGCGGAAAAUCCAAAAGGUUCUCACGGAUGUCAAACGAGAAAUGGACUGCUGCGACCGCCUGUCUCAUGUCGGCAAUCCGUCAUCUGAAAAUGCACGGCGACACGAAAAAGGAGGGGACUGGUCACUCGAUGCAAAAUUGAUGGACUUUUGGAUGGAAGGGAAAGAUGAAGGAAAAGAAGAAGAAGCAGAAAAAGAAUUGACAAUGAGAAUUCUUGACGUUGAAAUUAUUCAACACAUACUACUAAAGUACUCGAAGGAGGAUACUGAACAAAG
ensembl:ncRNA W01A11.18 ncRNA